rnacentral:rRNA from 1 species
GGGAUCGAUUACCGAGUUUACAACUCCCAAACCCCUGUGAACAUACCUUAUGUUGCCUCGGCGGAUCAGCCCGCGCCCCGUAAAAAGGGACGGCCCGCCGCAGGAACCCUAAACUCUGUUUUUAGUGGAACUUCUGAGUAUAAAAAACAAAUAAAUCAAAACUUUCAACAACGGAUCUCUUGGUUCUGGCAUCGAUGAAGAACGCAGCAAAAUGCGAUAAGUAAUGUGAAUUGCAGAAUUCAGUGAAUCAUCGAAUCUUUGAACGCACAUUGCGCCCGCCAGUAUUCUGGCGGGCAUGCCUGUUCGAGCGUCAUUUCAACCCUCAAGCCCAGCUUGGUGUUGGGAGCUGCAGUCCUGCUGCACUCCCCAAAUACAUUGGCGGUCACGUCGAGCUUCCAUAGCGUAGUAAUUUACAUAUCGUUACUGGUAAUCGUCGCGGCCACGCCGUUAAACCCCAACUUCUGAAUGUUGACCUCGGAUCAGGUAGGAAUACCCGCUGAACUUAAGCAUAUCAAUAAGCCCGAGGAA